UACAGAGGGGGCAAGCGUUGUUCGGAAUUACUGGGCGUAAAGGGCGCGUAGGCGGCCUUCUAAGUCGAACGUGAAAUCCCCGGGCUCAACCCUGGAAAGCGGGUGGAUACUGCCGGGCUAGAGUCCGGAAGAGGCGAGUGGAAUUCCUGGUGUAGCGGUGGAAUGCGCAGAUAUCAGGAGGAACACCAAUAGCGAAGGCAGCUCGCUGGGACGGUACUGACGCUAAGGCGCGAAAGCGUGGGGAGCAAACAGG
rnacentral:rRNA from 1 species